rnacentral:tRNA from 1 species
UCCCUCUUAGCUCAGUUGGUAGAGCGCGUCACUAGUAAUGACGAGGUCAGUCGUUCAAAUCGGCUAGCGGAAU